AUCAACCUCCAUCCAUUUGCCUA
rnacentral:siRNA from 1 species